rnacentral:rRNA from 1 species
GUGGGGAAUAUUGGGCAAUGGGCGCAAGCCUGACCCAGCAACGCCGCGUGAAGGAAGAAGGUCUUCGGAUUGUAAACUUCUGUCAUUGGGGACGAAGGAAGUGACGGUACCCAAUGAGGAAGCCCCGGCUAACUACGUGCCAGCAGCCGCGGUAAUACGUAGGGGGCGAGCGUUGUCCGGAAUUACUGGGCGUAAAGGGUGCGUAGGCGGCGAUGCAAGUCCAUUGUGAAAAGCCCGGGCUUAACCUGGGAGGUGCAGUGGAAACUGCAUGGCUUGAGUGCAGGAGAGGAAAGUGGAAUUCCUAGUGUAGCGGUGAAAUGCGUAGAUAUUAGGAGGAACACCAGUGGCGAAGGCGGCUUUCUGGACUGUAACUGACGCUGAGGCACGAAAGCGUGGGGAGCAAACAGGAUUAGAUACCCGUGUAGUCC